GCUUAUCCCCAUUCCAGAUUGAAUAUACCCGAUCUCGUCUGAUCUCGGAAGUCAAGCAAUCUCGGGCUUGGUUAGUACUUGGAUGGGUGACC
rnacentral:rRNA from 1 species